rnacentral:rRNA from 1 species
ACGGGGCGCAGCAGGCGCGAAACCUUUACAAUGCGGGCAACCGUGGUAAGGGAACCUCGAGUGCCUGUAAACGCAGGCCGUUCAGGUGUUUAAAACGCACCUGGAGAAAGGGCCGGGCAAGACCGGUGCCAGCCGCCGCGGUAAUACCGGCUGCUCGAGUGGUGGCCGCUUUUAUUGGGCUUAAAGCGUUCGUAGCUGGGUUGUUAAGUCUCUUGGGAAAUCUGGCGGCUUAACCGUCAGGCGUCUAAGGGAUACUGGCAAUCUUGGAACCGGGAGAGGUGAGGGGUACUUCGGGGGUAGGGGCGAAAUCCUGUAAUCCUCGAGGGACCACCUGUGGCGAAGGCGCCUCACCAGAACGGCUUCGACAGUGAGGGACGAAAGCUGGGGGAGCAAACCGGAUUAGAUACCCGGGUAGUCCCAGCCGUAAACGAUGCGCGUUAGGUGUAUCGGUGACCACGAGUUACCGAGGUGCCGAAGGGAAACCGUGAAACGCGCCGCCUGGGAAAUACGGUCGCAAGGCUGAAACUUAAAGGAAUUGGCGGGGGAGCACA